rnacentral:lncRNA from 1 species
CAGGAUUUCCCUGGAUCCCUGGAUUUGCUGCAGUGGCACCUGUGCUCUGCACACCUCACCUGGAACCUUUCCACCCCUCCUGCUGCUCCUGCAGGUGGUGACGGAGCAUCCCUGGACGUGGCACCGUGGAAAUGGCUGGAAAGGCCACCUGGGCCUUUGGUGCAAGUCUGCGGGAGCCCAUCUGGGCUCUUCCCUGUGGAAAAGCACAGGAAGGGUUUGGAUUGAAGGAUGGAGCUCUGUUUGUGUCCUUCAGGCAGAAAUCCCCACCGCGACCACGUUGCUGUGCUAAUGGAAAUAAAAGCAGGGCCAGACGUCACCAGGCUAAUUUUUCAUGGGCUGAUGAUGGGAAAAAAUUAGGGAUGCUAACUUUAGCUGGCAAAUCUUCCUGCAGCAAUAUCGUCUGA